UACGGAGGGUGCAAACGUUGCUCGGAAUCAUUGGGCGUAAAGCGCACGUAGGCGGCCUGUUAAGUCGGAUGUGAAAGCCCCGGGCUCAACCCGGGAAGUGCAUACGAAACUGGCAGGCUUGAAUAUGGAAGAGGGUCGCGGAAUUCCCGGUGUAGAGGUGAAAUUCGUAGAUAUCGGGAGGAACACCAGUGGCGAAGGCGGCGACCUGGGCCAUAUUGACGCUGAGGUGCGAAAGCGUGGGGAGCAAACAGG
rnacentral:rRNA from 1 species